UUCUAAUCCCUCCGUCCCAAA
rnacentral:miRNA from 1 species